UAAUGUAAUAUGUUCAAUAACUUUGAAAAUGAACUUUAAUUAAGAAAAAAGACCUUAAUUUAAUAUAAUACAUUUUGCGGCAUGAAAUACUUACUUUUGUUAAUAUUUAGAAAGUGUGUGUGGCUACCCUGGUAUGUAGCAUAGGCUGAUUACUUUUAAUUAAACAUAUUGACAAGUGUUCGUUGAAAAUUAUGAAAUUUUCUGAAUUUUACUAUAAUGUGAAUUGUAAUAUAACAAAACAAAGAGCAACCUAUGUAUUAUUGUCUUUCGAGAACGAUAAAGGUUAAUAAACCAUCGAAAAAACUUCCAAAAAGUAAAUUGAAAAGAAAAAAACAUUGGAAGCAUGCGUUGAACAAUAUAACCUUCCAACUAUAUCAAAUAUUUGUGGAUCAAGUACAUAUAAUCUAGUUGUAUUAUUCACUAGCAUGGAUGAUUCACAAGAUUCGGAGGUAUAAGUAAGGAUAUAUUUACUGGCUUGGAUCAACCAAAUAAAUAUAAUUUUUUUUAUAAAGAUGGGUAAAUCGUGCUAUCUGUCUAAUAGAAAAGCAUCAAAAACUGGAAAUAUUUCAUUACACAGAUUUGACUGUAUAUCAAAAGUGGUUAAAUGUUCAUGGAUUGACCUUAAACGAUGAUGAAUCAUCUAUUUAUAUCUAUUCUAUCCACUUUAUUGAAAUGGAUAUUAAUAGAUAUAAUACUUUUGGAAGAAAUUAAUCUAUAAUUAAACCUGGAGUAGUUCCUUCAAUGUUUAUAGCAAAUUAUCUUAUCAUAAAAGAAGAAGUUGAUGAUUUGUCAUCAGAAAUACUUGCAAAUGUGAUUAUAAAUGAUAAUUUUGGUGGAUAUGAAUAUAUUUUGUUGAAUAAUGAAAAUAAAGUUGAAGAUUUCACGAUGUUGAAAUUUUCUGCAAAGAAAAUUCAAGAGUACAGAGUACAAAAGAAUGCGAUGGAAACUAAAAAUUCUUCUAAAAAUUGAAAGUAGCAGCAAAAAGAUUUUGGAAGCUGCUAUCAUUCAACAAAAUGAUUCAACAACAUAUAAAUCUCCAACUAGUGUUUUAUUGAGUUGAGAUGUGUGUGUGUAGUAAAUUGUAAAUUAUUAUUUUAACCCGACAAAAUUUGGAAUUUCUUUGGAAUUUUGUUCAGAAUUAUCAAGAUUUAUAUAUAAUAAUACUUCGAGUGUUCAUUAAGUCGACAUGUGUGAACAUAAUUCGUCUCUAUCUUAUAGUCAUGAACAUUGUCAUAGUAAUGCUCAUAAAGAGUUUAUUUUCAUAAACUCCUGUGGCUUUCAUAGAGAAUAAAGGUAGAGGAAGAAA